rnacentral:rRNA from 1 species
AACGAACGCUGGCGGCAGGCCUAACACAUGCAAGUCGAGCGAGGACUUCGGUUCUAGCGGCGGACGGGUGAGUAACGCGUGGGAAUGUGCCCUUCUCUACGGAAUAGCCCUGGGAAACUGGGAGUAAUACCGUAUACGCCCUAUUGGGGAAAGAUUUAUCGGAGAAGGAUCAGCCCGCGUUGGAUUAGGUAGUUGGUGGGGUAAUGGCCUACCAAGCCGACGAUCCAUAGCUGGUUUGAGAGGAUGAUCAGCCACACUGGGACUGAGACACGGCCCAGACUCCUACGGGAGGCAGCAGUGGGGAAUCUUAGACAAUGGGGGCAAGCCUGAUCUAGCCAUGCCGCGUGAGUGAUGAAGGCCUUAGGGUUGUAAAGCUCUUUCAGCUGGGAAGAUAAUGACGGUACCAGCAGAAGAAGCCCCGGCUAACUCCGUG